UUCCGGUUGAUCCUGCCGGACGGUUUCUUGGACGAACCUUUCGUCAAAUACGGCUAAUCAACCACGGCGAUUCGACAAGCUGAAGGCUUCGGCCUUCAGCAGACGAUCGGCGCGGAAUGCCUACUUUUAAUUGAAGGGUUUGAUCCUGGCUCAGAAUGAACGUUGGCGGCGUGGAUUAGGCAUGCAAGUCGAGCGGAAAGGCCCCUUCGGGGGUACUCGAGCGGCGUAAGGGAGAGUAACGCGUGGACAACCUACCCCCGGAUCCGGGAUAGCCGUGGGAAACUGCGGGUAAUACCGGAUAAUGUCUCCGGACCAAAGGUGAGAUUCCGUCUGGGGAUGGGUCCGCGUCCUAUUAGCUUGUUGGUGGGGUAACGGCCUACCAAGGCUUCGAUGGGUACUGGGUGUGAGAGCAUGACCCGGCUCACUGGGACUGAGACACUGCCCAGACACCUACGGGUGGCUGCAGUCGAGAAUCUUCGGCAAUGGGCGAAAGCCUGACCGAGCGACGCCGCGUGCGGGAUGAAGGCCUUCGGGUUGUAAACCGCUGUCAGUUGGGAGGAAAUCGCAUGGGGUUAUCCCUGUGUGUUGACCUAUCUUCAGAGGAAGUACGGGCUAAGUUCGUGCCAGCAGCCGCGGUAAUACGAAACGUACAAACGUUAUUCGGAAU
rnacentral:rRNA from 1 species